CGAAAUGCGAUAAGUAAUGUGAAUUGCAGAAUUCAGUGAAUCAUCGAAUCUUUGAACGCACCUUGCGCUCCUUGGUAUUCCUUGGAGCAUGCCUGUCUGAGUAUCAUGAAAUCUUCAAAGUAAAUCUUUUGUUAACUCAAUUGGUUUCUACUUUGGUAUUGGAGGUCUUUGCAGCUUCACACCUGCUCCUCUUUGUUCAUUAGCUGGAUCUCAGUGUUAUGCUUGGUUCCACUCGGCGUGAUAAGUUAUCUAUCGCUGAGGACACUGUAAAAGGUGGCCAAGGUAAAUGCAGAUGAACCGCUUCUAAUAGUCCAUUGACUUGGACAAUACUUUUAUGAUCUGAUCUCAAAUCAGGUAGGACUACCCGCUGAACUUAAGC
rnacentral:misc_RNA from 1 species